AUCACUGUCAGUGGCAUUAUCCCACCAUAUCCUCCAGGCGAAACCUGGGACUGCCGCCGCAUCUCGAUGAUCAGUGAACUGCAAUAAUUCGAUUUCGAUGCGCAGCUCUGCAGCCAGAAAUCUGGCUGGUUAACUGCUGAAGCAGUAAGAGCAGGAAAACCCUUGGAUAACCCAGGGAAAUCGAGGGAUACCAUCUACCUGGGGCGCCUGCAUCAACCGGCAGCUUAAUUUGUGGCGCAAUGCAUGACGAGAUGGGGGGAAAAAGGCUGCCAUCGCCUUUGUUGAUUGCGGAAGAGGCAGGGCAUGGAUGGUUGGCAAAGAAAAUGACGUGCCAUGAAAUUGAUUGCAAAGUUUUUCCCCUUCCCCCGCCGCUUCCACAAAAAGCCAGCUCCCUUGAGCGAGCUGAAGAGCCAGCUCCUGGAACUCGGGACUCAGGUGGGCGUCGUCAAAGGUCAAAGCGGUGUGCAUAGGCAAAACAGCCAGCGCAGCCAGCCAAACCAGCGACCCUUAACCCUGCUCAAGUGUAGCGGUGGCGGGGGCGGGGGGGUUUAUAUAUAUGUUUGCCAGCCCUGUCGAUCGCAUAUUAAAUGAGUUUACGUUCUGGCGCCUCAAAAAGCCCCUGAGCACGCCUUAAAAUUGCUCAGCUGCAUGUCAAUUAAAGUAGUUUACGGCCAAGUUUAUCCGGAGGAUGUGUUCCAAGAAAACGGCGUAAGUUCCUUUGGGCUUUGGGAAAUUCUUACUUUACAGCAUAUCACACCCAC
ensembl:ncRNA lncRNA:CR45881 long non-coding RNA:CR45881